rnacentral:rRNA from 1 species
UACGUAGGGUGCAAGCGUUAAUCGGAAUUACUGGGCGUAAAGCGUGCGCAGGCGGUGAUGUAAGACAGAUGUGAAAUCCCCGGGCUCAACCUGGGAACUGCAUUUGUGACUGCAUCGCUGGAGUACGGCAGAGGGGGAUGGAAUUCCGCGUGUAGCAGUGAAAUGCGUAGAUAUGCGGAGGAACACCGAUGGCGAAGGCAAUCCCCUGGGCCUGUACUGACGCUCAUGCACGAAAGCGUGGGGAGCAAAAGGG